ensembl:lncRNA
UGGAAAUUUAAAAAGAUAUAAGCCAAAAAGGUCAAUCUAUCUUUUGAAAAAAAAAUCUCUUUGUUCUCUCUAGAUAUGAUUCAGUUUGUUCAACUCAACAAACACUUGAGUAUGUGAACUUAUUGUGUCCUUGAGGAUUUCAUCAUUUCCUGUAGGAGUCGUACAGAAUGUGAAUCACAAGGCAUGAUACCAUCUUGUUAUAAAGAGGUCUAAAGUGCUCUGGAUAUGUAAAGACAAAGAUAUUACAGGAGGCACCAGGAACCCCACGGUGAAAAAUAUCAAGUAGAAGAAUUGUUUGUUCCAAUGGGAGGUGGCAAAGGACAAUAAGCAACAGGGCGAAUGAAACAGAUACAACCCUGUUCUCAUGAGACUGGAGGGAAGAAAAUGUUCUGAAGGGCAAGGAGAG